GAUGAACGCUGGCGGCGUGCCUAAUACAUGCAAGUCGAGCGAAGCGGGGACGGGUGAGUAACACGUGGAUAACCUCCUAUAAGACUGGGAUAACCUCGGGAAAACGGUGCUAAAACCGAAACUUAUACAUGAAUCUGCGCUGCAUUAGCUAGUGGGUAAGGUAACGACUUACCAAGGCAACGAUGCAUAGCCGACCUGAGAGGGUGAUCAGCCACACUGGAACUGAGACACGGUCCAGACUCCUACGGGAGGCAGCAGUAGUGAAUCUUCCGCAAUGGGCGAAAGCCUGACGGAGCAACGCCGCGUGAGUGAAGAAGGUCUUCGGAUCGUAAAACACUGUUAUUAGGGAGGCGGUACCUACUCAGAAAGCCACGGCUAACUACGUGCCAGCAGCCGCGGUAAUAC
rnacentral:rRNA from 1 species